CCUUAUAAAAAAAUCCAUACCUUUAUCCUUUUAGAAACUUGAAAGAAGUUGUAUCUAGAAAAUCAAACCUGACCCUCUUUCUCUCUGUUCCUCGAUCAAUCCUUUUUUUUCAGAUUUUAUUUUGCACGUCGGCUCGAUCUCGAUCUUUCCUUCACUUCUAUUGUCUCCCAUCUCCUUUCCACUCAUUUCUUUUGCGUUCUUUAUUCGUUCUCUGUUUCUCUCUUUUUCUCCCUGUUUCUCUUGCUCUUUCUCUUCCUCUUUCUUUACCUCUCGUGACCGAGGCCCCGGCCGUUCCUCUCGCGGCCUUGAGCCGUCGUAGUCGACGAGAUGAAGCGAGCCAUUUCUAUUCCCUUUAAAGAACUAAUGCAUGUUUUCGAAAAGUAUAGCAACAUACAUGUUUGUGUUUGCUUUGUAUUCCACGGUUAAUACACGCGAGUAUCGAUGAUGGACGCAUGACUCUACGUAUCGUAGUUCGUAUGCUUCGCGAAUCGAACUCGUCGUGCGAAUAUGUACAUCUCUCCUCGAUAUAAACGCGAAUGUAUACGUGUGAAUACGUAUGAAUGCGAGACAAGUCUUGCACGCAUGUAUGCGAAUGUAUAUGAAAGUCCACUCCUCUUCUUCGUGUAUUAGUGUAUAUACAAUAUAGUGGUAUGUAUAUGUGUCCUCCGUUCAUGGGUGUCUCUCUACGGACCGAACAAGAGCGUCGUGGACGUGCGCGUGUGCAUCGUCCUGCUGGGAGUUCUCAGUAUGCGGCGCGGUCGUCAUUGGAAAAUCAAUACCAGACGGCACUAAUCAGCUGGCCUGAGAUCUGUCAUUAGAACUCGCCAGAUAAACGUGCUCAUCGUUCAACCGGACUAUUCCCGCCUUUCGUUUUUCCUAAUUUUAUCCAUUUUCACUUGACGACUCGCUUCUUAAGAUUUCUUAAGAAUCGUUGGCUUAAAAAUUUUAUAUUUGCAAAAUCAAUGAAAAAGAAUGAUAAUCUUAUAAAUACUUUUUUUUCGUUUAUCAUAUGCUUUCUUCUCCACCGUUCAACUCUUUAUCCUCUCUACUCUACUCGCUAUCUUUGAUACUAUAUUUAUCCUGAAAUAAGCGCAAUACUUUUAUUGCAUCCAUUUAAAUCUCCCUUUCCCUACAUGCUCUCUCUCUUGACUAAGGAUCUUUGUACAGUUAUAGAUAGAAAAUUUUAUAAUAGAGACUCUUUCCUCUGUUCGAUAAUCGAUUUUGGACUACGAUACUUUUUUUUCUUUUAGCGACCUCUUACGGUAGAAAGGAAGAAGCGUUUUACAAUCAACAUGGUCUCGGCCGAAAUUUAUUAAAAACUGAACAUUUCUAUCAUUUAAUUGUAACAAAUUCUUUCAAAAAAAAUUAAUCGUUGAGCAAACAAGAAUUACAAAAUACAUUUUACAAACGAAUUUAACAUUUGUAGUGUAAUCUUUUAAAAAUCAAGAGGAAUCUAUCGCAAUUUACAAAGUAUAUCUUCCGUUCGUCAUCUUCGUCAAGGAAUGAGAAAGAGAAAGGAACGAGAGCACGUGAAAGGAAGGGAGAGGGAAGAAUAAUGGAACGAAACAAAUAGUCAAGGAGAGAGCUUUUCAUAGCUAGCUGUACUAGCGCGAUCGAUGAGUCAGACUAGGGAUUUUUUUGCGAACUUUCGAUUGCUCAAUUCGAUUCAGCACGAUGUUAGCACGCGGUUUCCUGAAUUCGUUCAAGAUGGACAAAGUUACACGAUUUCACCGUCGACUGUCGUCGUCAUCGUCGCUAGUCGUCAUGUUCUCCCGAGAGAUCAUUCAUGCUCGACGAAUCGCAACGUAUCCAGGUUGCAAGAUCAAUUUAAAUAUCCCUGUGCUCUCGCGAGCAGAGUGACGCUAGUAAAAAUUACCAAGCCUGACUCUCAUACGAGUCACGCAGGAGAAAAAUCGUCCCUUGUGGGCUAUAAAAGAACCCCAUGUUCCACACCUCUUCUCCCCCUCUCUCACCCCUCUUCUGCCUCUUUUCCUGCGCUGCAAGCUGGUUCGGGUACGACGUUGCAAAAUCGAUAACGGCGUCGUUGCUAAUCGGAUGCCUCGAUACGAGGUGCAUUGCUCGGGAAACGAAUUUUUCCGUCAUUCUUCUCCUUCUCUUGCAUCAAUAUCAAACUUAAUACUGUGUGUGUUGUCGUUGUCGUUUUUCCUUAUCUAUCGUACCGUGGCUUGGACAAUGCGUCGACGAAAUUCUUCGACGACGUAACACGCAGUAGGCGUGGCGAAUCGAAUCGUUCGUUACCAAGGCGAGAAAGAGAUAGAGCGAUGACAAAAGAGAUAGAGAAGUAAAAGAAGCGUGGAAUGAAUGUGUACAGGUUAGAUCAUUGUCAGUUACCCUUCGAGUUUUUUUUUCACCUUGAAAUUGUCCGUUAACAUAUCGGAAAUUUUCAAGCUUCAUCAUACCUAUACACACGUCUAUCGACGAUUUUCGUUCGAUUUCGAACUUAGCUGCACUGACGUGAUCUUCCAAGAAUAUAUCAUGAUGCAGAGUAUGUUUCCACAUGAAAUUGCGAAUUAUAGCCGACUUUCAAAAGAUUCGUUUCAUAGUGCGUAACUUGAUUGUUUUGUAACAUUAUCUUUUUUUACCGAUAAUGAAAGUUUAAUUAUAAUAAUCUAAUAAAUCUUAUGAUACUGUUUACAAUAUACUAUUAUUCUAAGUAAUAUACUAGUUAUUAUUAGAAGUAAAAUAAUACAACGAUAUGAAUUUUUCAAAAUUCAUUUUUUUAGAAAAAAAAUUUUUUUUUUUUUCAGACAAAAUUGAAAUUGUAUAUGCAAGAAAUUGUAUAUGACGUUUCAAAUUAUUAUUCGCAUGUUACCAAUACGUCUUAAAUAUCGUUGUAAAACUAUCUUCGAAUUUGAUACACAAAAGUAUCUAUUCUUUCAUACAUACCAAUUGAAUAAAAUCUUAAAAUAUAUGUAUCAUUAUAUAUUUCCUAUCGUUAUUUUUAAAAUUUUUACAAAAAAUAAGUAGAAUGUAACGUUACGUAAUCUCGAUCAAUGUUUCUUUACUAUAUAAAGUUCUUCGUUAAUUAAAAUUAUGCGUUAUAUUCCAUAAAAAAAUAGGAGAAAAUAAUUCGCACAGGGCGUGGAACUAUAAUACUUCUUACGUGAGAUUGUAAAAUAAACGCCUGUAUAGGUAUAUAGGAUACGUGCUUCUGGAAGAUUGGAUUUCAGUUGCUUUUCGUGCGGCCGACUAGCGUCUCAAUUUUCAUGUUCUCGCACUUUUUACAUCUAACAAUUUUACAUUUUUUUCUUCCGUUGCGUAUUGUAGUUUAUUUGGAUAGCUAAAAAUAAACGUGUAUCAAGCAGGGCGAUGUGUAAAUUCCGGUAAACACAAAGGAAUAAAAAAAAAAUGGUCUAAACCAAUUCGAUUCCAACGAUACGUAGAAUCGAAAUUUCGAAUAUUUUAUCAUCGAUUCGUUCAACUUGCUUCUUCGUCACAGCUUAAUUGCAGUAACGCGUCUUCUUGAAAUGAGAUCAAUUAAGUUAACGCAUGUGCAUUGCUUGCUUUUUUAAAACUGUGGAUAUAUUGCGAUAAAUCGUGUAAGAAAAAAAAAAUGCGCAUGCAAAAUCUCAAACGUGAUAGCACUGCGAGACAUUUUGCGAUCGAUCGACUGCGAAGGGGGUGUGUCGAACUACCUUCCUCCCAUUCACCCUGGUUUUACGCGCUCUCUUGAGAAUUACGUAAGCUGAGAUGGUACGAAAAGAUGGUACAUCGACUUCGAACUUAUAUUAUCUCGUAACAAUUAUAUUAUUUAUGUCUUGUUUGUGUUUGAAAUGCCUUAAAUAU